GCCAUCAUUUAGUUGGGCACUCUAAGGAGACUGCCGGUGUUAAACCGGAGGAAGGUGGGGAUGACGUCAAGUCCUCAUGGCCCUUAUGUCCAGGGCUACACACGUGCUACAAUGGCCGGUACAAAGGGCAGCAAAGCCGCGAGGUGGAGCCAAUCCCAGAAAGCCGGUCUCAGUUCGGAUUGGAGUCUGCAACUCGACUCCAUGAAGUUGGAAUCGCUAGUAAUCGCGGAUCAGCAUGCCCGCGGUCCGAAUACGUUCCGGCCUU
rnacentral:rRNA from 1 species